rnacentral:tRNA from 1 species
CCAUGGCUCAAUGGUAGAGCAUCUGGUUUUACAUGCAGAAGAUCCUGAUUUCAAUCUUUCAGCUAAAAGG